rnacentral:rRNA from 1 species
UACAGAGGGUGCGAGCGUUAAUCGGAAUUACUGGGCGUAAAGCGCGCGUAGGCGGCUUUGCAAGUCGGGUGUGAAAUCCCCAGGCUUAACCUGGGAACUGCAUUCGAGACUGCAUUGCUAGAGUAUGGGAGAGGGAAGUGGAAUUUCCGGUGUAGCGGUGAAAUGCGUAGAUAUCUGGAGGAACACCGGUGGCGAAGGCGGCAUUCUGGACCAAUACUGACGCUGAGGAGCGAAAGCCAGGGGAGCAAACGGG